UUCGCCCUUUUCCGGUUGAUCCUGCCGGACCUGACUGCUAUCGGGUUGAUACUAAGCCAUGCGAGUCAUUGUAGCAAUACAAGGCAGACGGCUCAGUAACGCGUAGUCAACCUAACCUAUGGAUGGGAAUAACCUCGGGAAACUGAGAAUAAUGCCCAAUAGAACACUAUACCUGGAAUGGUUUGUGUUCCAAAUGAUUUAUCGCCGUAGGAUGGGACUGCGGCCUAUCAGUUUGUUGGUGAGGUAAUGGCCCACCAAGACUAUUACAGGUACGGGCUCUGAGAGGAGUAGCCCGGAGAUGGGUACUGAGACACGGACCCAGGCCCUAUGGGGCGCAGCAGGCGAGAAAACUUUGCAAUGUGCGAAAGCACGACAAGGUUAAUCCGAGUGAUUUGUGCUAAACGAAUCUUUUGUUAGUCCUAGAAACACUAACGAAUAAGGGGUGGGCAAGUUCUGGUGUCAGCCGCCGCGGUAAAACCAGCACCUCAAGUGGUCAGGAUGAUUAUUGGGCCUAAAGCAUCCGUAGCCGGCUCUGUAAGUUUUCGGUUAAAUCUGUAUGCUCAACAUACAGGCUGCCGGGAAUACUGCAGAGCUAGGGAGUGGGAGAGGUAGACGGUACUCGGUAGGAAGGGGUAAAAUCCUUUGAUCUAUCGAUGACCACCUGUGGCGAAGGCGGUCUACCAGAACACGUCCGACGGUGAGGGAUGAAAGCUGGGGGAGCAAACCGGAUUAGAUACCCGGGUAGUCCCAGCUGUAAACUAUGCAAACUCAGUGAUGCAUUGACUU
rnacentral:rRNA from 1 species